GAUGAACGCUGGCGGCGUGCCUAAUACAUGCAAGUCGAGCGAACAGACGAGGAGCUUGCUCCUCUGACGUUAGCGGCGGACGGGUGAGUAACACGUGGAUAACCUACCUAUAAGACUGGGAUAACUUCGGGAAACCGGAGCUAAUACCGGAUAAUAUAUUGAACCGCAUGGUUCAAUAGUGAAAGACGGUUUUGCUGUCACUUAUAGAUGGAUCCGCGCCGCAUUAGCUAGUUGGUAAGGUAACGGCUUACCAAGGCAACGAUGCGUAGCCGACCUGAGAGGGUGGUCGGCCACACUGGAACUGAGGCACGUUCCAGACUCCUACGGGAGGCAGCAGUAGGGAAUCUUCCGCAAUGGGCGAAAGCUUGACGGAGCAACGCCGCGUGAGUGAUGAAGGUCUUCGGAUCGUAAAACUCUGUUAUUAGGGAAGAACAAAUGUGUAAGUAACUAUGCACGUCUUGACGGUACCUAAUCAGAAAGCCACGGCUAACUACGUG
rnacentral:rRNA from 1 species